UUUUAUGAAAUUGUGAAAAGUCUGCAGCAGCAGUUGGGGGAGCUUGACACCCGGACACUGCAGGACAAAUGCCGGCAUCCCUGUACCAUGCAUGCUCCACUGGCUCGCUGCAGUUGGCAGGGAACUUGGCACUAGUAAUUCAAACUUCAAAGAUACGCAUGCAUGUUAGCUUACACAGAAUUGCAUAUUCUUCCAACUUCCAUACAGAGCAGAAGAAAUGGAAAAUCGCUCCAGUUCCUGCAUUCAUCUGAAACAUUUAGAGCUGUUCGGAGAGAGGAAUCUACCCAAACGUAUGAAGAGAAUCAAAAACUUUGAGACACUAACAAUAUGGAGUUGCUCGUGGAGUUGAGAAGAUCCUUCUAUUCUGGGAGGAUUUUGAGCUGAGGAGGACAAGCUGAAGGUCGCCAGGGCCAGGAAGAUCACGAGAUUCUCCUAACCUUUCCAGUUAGAACCGGGCAAUCUGUCUUCAGAAUAUAGAAUGAAGUUCAGCCUACUUAGUUUACGAAUUUACAGUACAGAAUACCAGAGUGCACAAAGUACCAGAGUGCACAAAGUACCAGAGUGCACAAAGUAUCAGAGUGCAAAAAGUACAAGAGUGCACAAAGUAACAGAGUGAACGAAGUACCAGAGUUUACAGAAUGCCAGAGUACCAGUGUGUAACAGUGGAUAGUUUUAGAUCCUUCCACUCACAGAGUUUCAAAUCAUAUACAAAAGAUGGAUUUAAGGGAGUCGCAAGCCCGAGCUAUGGAGCUGUUAGCGGAAAUAUCACGGAAGAAAAUAUAAACACUGAAAAAGAUAAAAGUGAAGACAAUGUUGUAAACAAUUUAUAUCCAGUUAUUUGUGCGUUAAAUAUUUAUGUUUGUUUCUAUUCAAAUAUUUACGCUUGUUUCUAAUCAA